AGAGUUUGAUCAUGGCUCAGGAUGAACGCUGGCGGCGUGCUUCAUACAUGCAAGUCGAACGAGAAAUUACCUUCGGGUAAUGGAGUGGCGGACGGGUGAGUAAUACAUAGGGAAUCUGCCCUUAGCCGGGGGACAACAGUUGGAAACGACUGCUAAUACCGCAUAUGAGAUAUGUUGAGAUACAUAUCUUGAAAACUCCGGUGGCUAAGGAUGAGCCUGUGCCUGAUUAGCUGGUUGGCGGUGUAAAUGACCACCAAGGCGACGAUCAGUAGCUGGUUUGAGAGGAUGAUCAGCCACAAUGGGACUGAGACACGGCCCAUACUCCUACGGGAGGCAGCAGUAGGGAAUUUUGCGCAAUGGGGGGAACCCUGACGCAGCAACGCCGCGUGAACGAAGAAGCCCUUAGGGGUGUAAAGUUCUGUCAGCGGGGACGAAAGAUGACGGUACCCGCAGAGGAAGCACCGGCUAACUCCGUGCCAGCAGCCGCGGUAAUACGGGGGGUGCAAGCGUUGUCCGGAAUCAUUGGGCGUAAAGCGUUCGUAGGCGGCAAACCAAGUCUGGUGUUAAAGACCGGGGCUCAACUCCGGAUGGGCAUUGGAUACUGGUUAGCUAGAAUGUGGUAGAGGUAAAGGGAAUUCCUGGUGUAGCGGUGAAAUGCGUAGAUAUCAGGAGGAACACCGGUGGCGUAAGCGCUUUACUGGGCCAUAAUUGACGCUGAGGAACGAAAGCCGGGGGAGCAAAUGGGAUUAGAUACCCCAGUAGUCCCGGCCGUAAACGAUGGAUACUAGGUGUUGCGGGUA
rnacentral:rRNA from 1 species